rnacentral:lncRNA from 1 species
UAGGGUUUGGAUCCCUGGUAGUAGUAGGUUAGAUCUAUUGCUUUACUAGUUUUCGUGCACAUCAUGCAGAUUUUAUAUGUUUAGAUUUUUUUCAUGCAUAUAUACAUAUUGUAGAUCCAUUUGUAGGAUGUUUAAUGAUAUGAUCAUGUGCAUGUAUCUUAGAUUAAAAUAUUUAAUCAGAUUGUAUUUCACUGUAAAAAAUUUUAAGAUGCAUGCAUGGAACCCCUAUAGUUUUAUAAUAAAUAGAUCUCAUCAAAGUACGUACUCUACUCCUACAAUGAACCUACUACAGCCAACAUCCGCUACAAGGAUCCAUAUGG